rnacentral:lncRNA from 1 species
GAAGGAAGUGGGCCCCUUCUCUCUUCCUCCAGAGUCACCAUGUGAUCCCGGGAUGAGGACGCCAAUGGCAGGUGUCUGAUAAGAUAAGUCUUAUAAAAUAUAUAGAUUUAUGAUAAUUAAGAAUGAGCUAACAGAUGAGAAUCCUAGUCAUUGGCCAAGCAGCAUUUGUACCUAAUAUAAGUCUCUGUGUAUUAUUUGGGGCCCUAACUCGGCGGGCAGAACUCAGGAGGCUGGUGGAAAGUACCCACGUGGCGGUAGGGCUCGGGCGGCUUUUGGCGGAAAGAUUUAUUGUAACACGCUUCCUUUGGGUUAGCUCUACACUUCCUCCCAUGAUUUCCCUCAUACUUAACCUCCUUCCUGCUUAAGCCUUUCUGCCCCUAGUAUUCUUCCUCCAUACUUUUGGUUGACCUGCAAUCUGCUUAAUGUGUCCCCCACUGAAGGCCCCUUUCUAGUUUUCCAGCUUCAAAUUAAACACAAAAUAAAGGUUAGAAGUUGAGAUCUGCAUACAAUAGCAAGCAUACGGCGUUUAUUUUUCUGGAUCUAAGUAAAAAAACUCAUCUAGUUUAACUUUUUUCCAGUUCUAUCCUUUCACCUGCAAAUUUUGUGAUUUCAUUUUUCUUUACUGCCCAGUAAUAUUCCAUUGUGCACAAGUACCAUGUUUUUCUUAUCCAUUCAUCUGUUGAUGGGCAUCUAGAUUGCUCCCAUUUCCUAGUGAAUAGGGCAGCCUUGUACAAGUCCGUGCAAGAAUGUACAAGGGAGCCAAGUUUUUUUUUUUUAAUUUUGAACCAGGACAACUAUGAAACUAUGUUUAACACUUAACUGUUUUCAUGUUAUUAUUUAACGACUCAAGAUUGGAUUUAAUUGAGACUCCAUUCUCUCAUCUUCAUAAGGGUAUAUGGAACCUCAUUCAUUUUGUGGGUAUCCCAUAAUCAAGGGUCUGUUUUGGCUUCUUGACUUCUGCUGCAGGAAGCUGAUCAUCAAAGCCAUACGGCUGGAAGGCAGGAGAUUGCAUUUGCCUCAAGUUCUUACCCAACAAGCUUCAUGAGUUUGGACAUGACACACGGUCAUUCCACACCUCAGACUCCUCAUUAUUCCGAUGAAGUGAUUAAACUGUCUUCCACAUGACUCCUUGUAGCAAUGUCAUCUUAGUAUCCUCUGACUUGGAGGUUUUUAUUAGAAACAGGUUUAUUUAUAAAUCAUUAAUACAGUUCUACCCAGUGGCUACUCAGUAUCUGCACAGCCCAAAGCUUUUAAUAACUAGGUAACCCUCUGGGCCUGUGCUCAAUAGACGAUGGCUCCCUACUUUGUGUGGGCUAAAAAUGGCCACACUGCUUUGAAAUUCGUGCCAUUUGAGAGGUGGCAUCUGUUUCUCUUCUCCUGGAUUCUGUGCUUGCUUUAUAAUGUACUGUGUGUCACAAAGUGAUGCAAAAAGGGGUGAAACCUCCAAGUAAAAGGAAAAAGGUGACACAUUUAUUUCUAGUACUUGGGAGGCAGAGGCAGGUGGAUCUCUGUGCGCUCAAGGUCAGCUUGCUCUGCACAGUGAGUUCCAGGACAUCUAGAGCUACACAAUGAAACCUUGCCUUGAAUAAAACCAAAAUCCCAAACCCUAAAACCAGAAACCCCAAACCAAACCAAACCAACCCAACCAACCAACCAAACAAAAUAAACAAAAAGGAAAAGUAUAAACAUCUUGUACUUUCAGUUUUAUCCUGUUUGAAUUUAUGUUAGCUAGACCUAUGGCAAUUCAGUCCAAAGCCUUGGCCAACUUCAGAACAUACGCAUGAGGCCACCUGUGCUAAACACUUUUCAUUUCUGCAAUGAAAUGCUAGAGAUAAUAAGCCCAUAAAUAGAAAAGGGUUAAGUGCCUCACAGUUUGGGGCUUCUAGUCAACAGUAUCCAACCUUUGACAUUGCCGUAUGAUUUCAUCUACAAAUGUGUUGGGUCUCACCCACAGCUGUCCUGGGAGGCAAGCAGCCUGUGGGCUGGACACUCCUGUUCCACUCAAUGAUCAUAGGUCUUGGCAAGAGCACAUUGUGAAGUAAAACAAUUCACAUCUGGGCCACAUAGGGCUCAGGUUCCAAAGUGCCCUCCCAGGGUUUCCAGUCCUCAGUAUAAAGUCUCUUCAUGGGGAAACUGUUGGGGACAGAGGCAAAAAUUGUAGACUUUAGAAUGAAACAAAUGUGUGAUGUAUUCCAUAAUAGUUCCCACAGGUGUUUGAAUUUCCAGAACACUUUUAAUCUUGCUUGGACUUGUUUCCUACAUCUGGAAAGUGAGGGUUAUGACAUCUGUCUUGGAAGACUGUGAUGAAAUGGGGCAAACAGUUAGAGAUACUAUAUCCCUGCCCAUGGCCCUGCCCAUGGCCCUGCCCACUGCACAUGAUGCUUUGGUUUUUUGUUUUUAUUUUUUUCCCAAUGCAACAAUUAAAACAUGUCAGCUUACAAGUCAAUGCUGGUCAUGUUUCAGCGGCACUGAACACUUUAGAGCCUUUUAGAAAUGGGGGUAGCAAGCCACAUUCCUAUGGAUACUAACUUAAUUUGAAAUCUAGACUAGAGAAAUCUAGACUUUCUAUCAAAUAGUUUCAUGCUAAUUUCUUGAAAGUUUCUCUCUCUCUCUCUCUCUCUCUCUCUCUCUCUCUCUCUCUCUCUCUCUCUCUCUCUCUUCUCUCUUGAGAUGGAGUCUAACCUCUCUGUCUAGUCUGUCCCCAAACACUAGAGCUCCAGUGGUCCUCCUGCCUCAGCCUCCAGAGUAGCUGGGACAAACAGGUGCACACCACUCUUCCUGACUUGAAAGUAUGAAGUGUAACAACUUAACAACUCCUAAAAAGGACAUUUUAAGCAUGUAAGCAUGCUGCUAUUUUGGCUGGAGGCUAGUUUCAAUGACUUUCUUCAAAGUAAGAAAACAAUGAAUGAGAACUACAACUAGAAACCAAUUCCAUCAAGCAGGAAACCCCUGCUUUUCUACUGUCUGUCUCUUCCCCCCUCUCCCCUCCCCCUCUCCCUUUCCUUCUCUCUCUCUUUCCCUUCUAUCUGUGUCUGUGAGACCAAUUCUUUCCCAUUCAAAAAGUGAGGGAAACUCAAGAUGUGUAUGGAAGGAGAAAAGAUUGCUAUGUCCGUGUCACUUAUUUACAUGGAAGUCGUGGCUGGCUGAGUCAUUUUGUUGCCAGCUGUCUGUGAAUUAGCCAGAAUGAGAUUGCCCAAGGUCAAUUAGUUUCCAGGAAGCAUUUUAAGUCUAUCCAUUGAGAAGCAGGCAGACUUUCAUUCCACUGUGGCUGUAGGGUCUCUGGGGCCCAAGGCCUGGAUGCGGCAUGGCUUCCUUCUUCACACCGCAAUUUCCCAACCAACCACAUCAUCGUCACUCAUGCAUGUCUUUCUUGUGUAAGGAAUUCCUGGGGUCAGGAGUUCCCAGAGGCAGGCGAUGGGUCCCAUUGGCUUGAACUCGGGGUUGCUCUGCACAGGGCUGAUGGGUCUUGUUGUUUGAAUGCAGUGUUGCUCUACACAGUCUGAUGGGACUCAUUGGCUUGAACACAGGAGUUCUCUGCACAGGGCUAAUGGGCUUGAAUAUGGGGUUGCUUUGCAUAGGGCUGAUGGGACCUUCUUGAACAUCUGGUUCCAGCUGAAAUAGCCACUGUUGUGGCAGCUGUUCAUGCUGCUCUUUUACACCAUGGACUUAAUCUCCUCACUGUUUCUGGCUGACACAAAACCAGUAGCUUCCCAACUGUCACAGCUCUGCUUUUCCAGGCAGAAGGGACUGUUAUGAAUUUCCUGAGAGGAGGGGACUUUUUUUUUUUUUUGUUUUGUUUUGUUUUUUGAGACAGGGUUUCUCUGUGUAGCUUUGGAGCCUAUCCUGGCACUCACUCUGGAGACCAGGCUGGCCUCGAACUCACAGAGAUUUGCCUGCCUCUGUCUCCCGAGUGCUGGGAUUAAAGGCGUGCACUACCAACAUCCGUGGAGGAGGGGGCUUUUUAUUUUUUAUUUAUUUUUACAUACUAAUCCCAGUUCUCCUCCCUCCUGUCCUCCUGCUCCCCCUACUUUCUGAUCACCCCCGCUUUGUUCCUCAGAGAGGGUAAGGUCUCCCAUGGAGAGUCAAUGAAGUCUGUGUAUCACCUUGUUGAGGUAGGACCAACCCCCAUCCCCCUUGUCCAGGCUGAGCAAGGUAUCUCUCCAUAGGAAAUGGGCUCCAAAAAGCCAGUUUAUGCCUUAGGGAUAGAUUUGGUCCCACUGCCCAAGUCACCCACUGUCACCUGCAUUCAGGGGAGGAAGGAACUUUUUAUUCAGCAACUCCCGAGUUUGUCUACACUGGAAAUUCAUUCUGAACUGGUGGAGACAGCUGCUGACCAACAAAGUUGGUCAGUGUGUGGUGUACUCUGUAAGCUGGUGGCAAAACUGCCUCAAUUCAUUCCUGAAUCCAUGAAUUCUGAUGCCACAAACUCUGCUGACAUUUGGCCCCUUCCUCUUCCCUGAGCUUCAGGUGUUUGUUUUUAGGGCUCAUCAGCUUCUCAUACACCCUCUAUCAUUUAAUGAAACUUUCACUUCAAAGUCUAGUUGCAAGUAUGUCUAAUCCGUGGUCUAUGGGCUGCCUGCAUCCCAGGAGAGCUGUGAAUGUGGUUCAAUUCAUUCAUAAAUAACAGCACUUGUCACAGAGUCAACAAGGUGGACACUCCUGCCAGUAGGAGGGUGCUGGUGCCUCUGUCUUUUUAUUUCUCUCUUUCUUUCUUUCUUUCUUUCUUUCUUUCUUUCUUUCUUUCUUUCUUUCUUUCUUUCUUUCUUUCUCCCUCCCCUCCUUCCCCUCCCUCCUCUCCCUCCCCUCCCUCUUUCUCUUUCUUUCUUUCUUUCUUUCUUUCUUUCUUUCUUUCUUUCUUUCUUUCUCCCUCCCCUCCCUCCUCCCUCCCUCCCUCCCUCUCCCUCCCCUCCCUCUUUCUCUUUCUUUCUUUCUUUCUUUCUUUCUUUCUUUCUUUCUUUCUUUCUUUCUUUUUUCCUGAGACAUGGUUUCUCUAUGUAGCCCUGGAUGCCCUAGAACUCACUCUGUAGACCAAUUUGGCCUCAAACUCACAGAGACAGCCUGUCUCUGGUGGGAUUAAAGGUGUGGGCCACCACCGCUGGGUUCAUUGUCCUUUCUUAAUUGGUAGAAGAAUUUGAAGCUCCUGUGUUCAUAACACACAUGGUGAAUGAUAUUAAUCCCGCUGCCUCAUGCACGAGUUUAGUUGCUAGCUUUUAGCCUGCUUGUGUCCAGUCAGCUGACAAAUCUGUCCCUGUAUGGUAGAAAGGUUGGGAUAGGUCGUGAGGUGGGACUAUUUCCCUGUGAUUCUGGAGUCAUAGCUGCACACCAGUGACGUGCACGGCUGCCAUGCCCUCUAACUCCCUGUGCUGCUGUCGCUGCCAGUGCUGCGGGACUCCUCCAUGGCCCAGGCACCACCCUGUGGUUGGGACCCCAUGGCUACCUAUCCUUAAACUAUAGUUAGAUAGCUCAUUGUCAUUUGGAUGUGCACUUCCCAGACAUCUAAUAAAACUGAACAUUUUCCAUAAAUUUACUAACCAUUUGAAUUUCUUCUCUUCACAAUUGUCUAUGUCCUUGGUCUAUUUUGAGGUUAUAUUAUAUACCUUUUUUUGGUCCACUGACUUAAAGUUACUUUUAUAUUUUUUCUUCUUUUCUUGGAGCCCUUGAUAUCAGAUCCAGGGCCUUGCUAGGCAAGUGCUCUACCCCUGAACCACACACCCAGUUCUCUCUCUAUCCAAUGAGCCUUUCCACAGCCCCUGGGCCCACUCUCCACUGCUUCAUCUCUUUGCAGCUCAGCAGCUCCUCGCGUGACACCAUCUGUCCAUGUUUGCUUUUGGGUUGUUAACCAGAAAAUCUGUUCCCAAACCAACAUCUUGAACUGCUUGCCCUGAGCUUUCUGCUGGUGGCUUUACAAGGUUCAGGCUGGUCUUUAAGGCUUUGAAGAAAAUGGAUUCCUGUCUCAUUGAGUUAUUCUCUAUAAUUGAGAGAUGCUCAGUGUGCUUUCCUAAAAUCCGGCAAAUAUUUCCCAAAGAAAACUAGGACCAUUUAUCCCUGCUCUUUCCACUUGUAACAACACAGGAAGGUUUUCUAAGGUUUAAUGGUGAUUAUCUUGAGAAAAGGAACAUCUUGAAUCUGUAAGGCUAGUUUUGCUUUGAUUUAUUUGGGAUUUAAGCUUGUAGGAUAAACACAUUUGAGAAGCUUCAUGCUCAUUCUGCAUUAUGGAAUGCGUCUCUUCCAGUUUCAUUUUUCUGCUAUUUAGUUUUGAGAGGCAUCUUUUAGGCUAUGGACCAUAUUAGGUCCCACAUCCUAAAAUAGAGCAGGAUGCGUAUGGUGGUGGGAGGUACCUCUGCCUGGCUUGCUGUGUCUUCCUGGAUGGCAAUAGGCCAUCUCUGCAGGCUCUGUGACAUAGCACAGGCUGGAGGUAGGCCCUCCUCGAGGUUGUGAGCCACCUUCUGCAGGAAUUUGUGCCAUAUCGCCAGAGCCAUGCUGCAGCAUGGCACAUGCCGGGCUCUUGGGAGACAGCCCCACCUUGUCCAUCUGCUUUUUCACUCGUACCCAUCCUUUCUUCUGUCAAAAGAACCUUCCAGUGCAUGAAAAUCCCUGAUUUUCCAGCACAGAGACAUGACAUAAAAAUUUGAAUGAAUACCUUAGUUUUCUGUACUUGACUGUAUUGACAUUCAGCAGUGGCCAAGACAAAUGGCUGCCUGCAAGGAUUCCAGCAGCCACCACCAUCUCUGUCCCCCUCUGCUUCAUGCUCUGCCCUUUCCUUGUACAGGCUGUGACUUUCUGGGGUGGCCCUAGGAGACACAGACUUCCCUUCUUGCAGGAGAGAGAGAGGGAACAUGGAACAGAGGAUGGCAGUUGCCAUUAUGCCCUACACAAAGUAUUUUACUCCACAAAGUCAUACAUCCAAGUUAUUUAUUUAUUUAUUUAUUUAUUUAUUUAUUUAUUUAUUUGAGACAGUCUCACUAGGUAGCUCUGAUUGGUCUGGAAUUCAGGGUCCUCCUACCUCAGCCUUCCAGGUGUUGGGAUCAGUGGCACACAACUCCACACUUGCUAUAACAUUCAAGGUUUUUUUUUUUUCCCUUUGAGAUAGUGUUUCUUUGUGUAAUAGUCCUGGCUAUCCUGGAACUCGACCACACUGGCCUUCAACCCUCAGAGAUCCACCUGCCUCUGCCUCCUGAGUGCUGGGAUUAAAGGCGUGUGCGCCACCACUGCCUAGCUGCUUGCCACAUUUCUUACAGAAAGUCCUUCGGUUAUUAGGUAUAUUGACUGACAGUCUUUGCAGUGGAGGUGUCUAUGCUAUGAAAAUGAGAGACCCAGCAUCUGCGGUUGCCAUCUCCUGCCGCUUGUGCCAACAGAGAGACAUUCAAACUUUAAAUUUAACUCUUGUAAAAUUAUUGACCUUACAAUGAGGGAUAUUGGAGAUUCCAAAAAUUUCUGCUUUCUUCAUUUUGACAGGCUUGGGUUUCUGAAGGCUGUCUAGGGGCAUUGAAUAAUGUAUGCUUUCCAGGGAUGGGACCCAUGGGGCAUAUACUCGAUGGAGUCCUAAGAGUCUUUUGAGUUGUGGGGAGGAGAGAAGGAGUUAUGAGAAAGAGAAGGGGAGAAGAGAAGGGGAGAGGAGGACAUGAGGGAUCAGGAAAUUUGAGUCAGGGGAAGAAUAGAGGAGAGCAAGAAAAGAGAUACCAUAAUAGAGGGAGCCAUUAUAGGUUUAAAGAGAAAUCUGGCACUAGGGAAAUGUCCAGAGAUCUACAAGGAUGACACCAACUAACAAUCUAAGCAUGAUUACUUUAUAUGCCAUUCUAGAGCCUUUAUCCAGUAGCUGAUGGAAGCAGAAGCAGACACCCACAACUAAACACUGCACAGAACUCCUGAAAUCCAGUUGCAGAGGGAGGAGUGAUGAGCAAAGGGGUCAAGACCAGGCUGGAGAAACCCACAGAAACAGAUGACCUGAACAAGGGGGAGCUCAUGGACCCCAGAUUGAUAACUGAGAACCCACCCUGACCCCCUGAUCAUGGUGUCAGUUAGGAGGCCUGGACAAUCUAUGGGGCCUCUGGCAGUGGAUCAGUGUUUAUCCCUAGUAUAUGAAUGGACUUUGGGAGCCCACUCCACAUAGAGGGAUACUCUCUCAGCCUAGACACACGGGGGAGGGCUUAAGCCCUGCUCCAAAUGAUAUGACAGACUUUAAUGACUCCCCAUGGAAGACCUCACCCUCCCUGGGGAGCAGAAAGAGGAUGGGAUAGGGGGUUGGUGGAGGGGGGGCAUGGGAGGAGGGGAGGGAGAGGGAACUGGGAUUAACAUGUAAAACAAGCUUGUUUCUAAUUUAAGUAAAAAAAUCUGAAAAAAAUGACAGCCAAAAAAAAAAAAAGAGGUGGCUUCCCACCCUGAGGGCUCAGAGGAUGAGCCACCAUCGUCUCUCUGCUUCAAGCUAGAGGGUAGGUCUCUGUGAGAGGUAGAGGGUGUGAUCCACACUCCCCAUGCCAUGGCAGGAAGCUCAGCAGCUGACACCUGCAAUCCAACCAUGGAAAAGCAUGGAUGUGCUCGCUCCCUUAUGUCUGCGGUGUCUUUGAACAUCACACCGGGAUGUGGUCAUGCACAAAUCUGCUUGCAUUCUUGUGUGCCUAGGUGCACGAGCGCUAGUGAAGGCAAGUGUUGAAUUUGUGUCUGCCUAGACCAGUCUAUGGCAUGUCUUGAAGAAUGCAAAAACCACACACUUUUGUAGACUCUACCAGCUGCUGUCCCUCCUACCCCCUUCCCUCCCCACAUCCAGCAGCAAGCACUUUGGCCCAGCUGCCUUGCUGGAAUGCUCUUUUGGAACAUUUAAAAAAAAAAAGCAUUUGGAAGGCCUUGUAAGAGAGGCAUUGGAAGUUCAUCACAGAUUAUUUGUAGUAAGAAUUCUUCAGGGAGAUGGGGGCUCUGAGGUACUGGCAACAUUUUUCCCUUUUAAAAGUAAACAAGACUCCAUUUUCUCCAGUAUUCAGCCUGUUGUUCUUUCCUCUCCCUUGUAAUCAUCCUGCAAAUGGACUCCCAAGGUCCAGAUGGGCAGGCAUGGGGCCCUUUCUGUGUGUGAUACACACAGGACCUGUGAGAAAGCUCACCAAGCCCCAAGGAAAGGAGGCUCUGAGGGGACCCAGGUUCAGACCCAAUCUGGAUUGCUUCCUGCUGUUAAUUCUUGUCUACUCAGUGAUCCAAAUGAACAGGUGAUGCUCCUGCUUGGCUGCAGUAGUCACGCUAAGCUGUGUGCAUCCACGUUCGUGCAGGUGUGUGCACACAUUGUGUGUGUUGUGUAAGUGAAUAGAAGCAAAGACCAUUGCCAUCAUCCUUUAGAAAGUGGAGGUGACUGUCCCAUGUAGCACCUGUAAGCUCUGAGGCCUGCUGGGAACUGUAGCCAUGUUCUGUGCUCAACUAUCUAUGGGCAGCAAAGUGUGGAUGGACAGCAUAGAGGGUCUCUUAUUCCCCCUCUCACACCCAGCUGGCAUGGCUACCCCUCUGUGUCCUGGCAGAGUCACCCCUUUGUUUUCCAUCCCCCCAACACUCUGAUGCUAGCCUCUGUGGGUCUACCUGGAAGUUCUUUCUGUGGGAGCAGGGAGGAAUUUGAGGAGCACUACUGUUCUGACUCUACCAGUGCAAAGUUUAGAGUCAGAUAGGUCAGUUUCAAGCUGGCUUUGUUCCAUGUUUGUCUCUUAAGGGAAAGAGUGGUCCCCUGGGGAUUUCCAUGGCUCUGCGGACAGGCAGUGAGUGAGAAAUUCAAUAUCACCUGCAAUCCCAGAGGCUCACUUUCUGUUCUUCCCCUCCUCUUCCGUCUCACAAAAAUGUUGGUGCUCAUUCCUCAGGCUGUGUUUAUGGGAUCAGGAUCAUGUGGGUGGAGAGCUAGCAUACACUUCCUCCUCCCGUCACCCCAAGAAGUGCGGUGUGUCUAGGUUCAGGGGCUACUCAGAGAGAAGCACAUAAUGUCUCUGGUAUUAUUUAUUCUCUGAAUUUUGAACAAUUGUGGUUUUCUGUAAUAGUCUCUGUCUAUUGCAAAGAGAAGUUUCUUUGUUGAAGGGUGAGAAUUAUAGUUACUUGUGGGAAUAAGGAUAAAUAUUUAGAAUGUGGUGAGGGAUUAGUUUUGUUUGGUAAAGUGCUAGCUGUAGGCUCUUCUCCUAGGUCCAUGACCUCACAGGUUUCCCAUUGGUUGGCUAGGUUUCCUGUACUAGGUGUGAUUUUUGUCUUGUUGAGUAGGCCUUAAGUCCGAUGAGAGAGCUGGUGGUUACUGCCAAGAUAGGAGUGCCACUGAUGCACCCUUAGGGUUAUGCCAUUGCUGGCCAUUAUUGUUGGUUUUAUGCUCAGGGAUUGGUUGGUUUUUGUGCUGAGUUGGUUGGUGUAGAGGGUGUUUCUUUGACUCUGAUUUCAUGGUCAUGAUGUGCUUUUUUCACUGGUCAACCCUUCUCCUCCCCUUUUAACCUUUUGGCUCUGGUCUCAGGGCCAGUGAAUUGGUUCUGGUCUCAGGGUCAGGGUGUGUUUCUUUGGCUCUGGUUUCAGGGCCAAACUGUGUUCUUUUGCUCUGGUUUCAGGGUCAGGGUGUAUUUCUUUGGCUGCCCCUUUUACCCUGCAGGAAACAUUCUGAGAUGCCCUAGGCUUGGCUAUUGAACUCGGCCUUCCUAUCCUAUAGCUUCAAGCCUACCAGCAUGAGUGGCUCUCCAUGCUGAGUUUAGUUCUCAUCAGCCUUUAUCUUCAGGGAGAUCUGAAGGAAGACCCCAACUUCCUGUGCCAGCAAGUUUUCUUUUUUUUUUAUUAUCAUUUUUUAAUUUGAAUUAAAAACAAUAUUGUUUUACAUGACAAUCCCAGUUCCCUUCUCCCUCCCGUCCUCCCCUACUACCCCCCCAACUAAAACCCUACCUAUCACAUAUCCUUUCUUCUGUUCUUCCCCUGACUCAACCUUUCUGCUCCCUCAUGACCUCUGCAUCCUUCCUCUUCUUCCCUUAUCAUUCAUGUAGCUCCCUCCCCCCUCUUCCCGUGCUCUCAAUUUGCUCAGGGGAUCUUGACCCUUUCCUCUUCUCCAAGGGACCAUGUAUGUCUCUCUUAGGGUCCUCCUUGUUUCCUAGCUUCUCUGGCAGUGUGGAUUGUAGGCUGGUAAUCUUUAUGUCUAAAAUCCACAAAUGAGUGAGUAUAUAUUAUGUUUGUCUUUUUGUGAUUCGGUUACCUUGCUCAGAAUGGUUUCUUCUAGUUCUAUCCAUUUUCCUGCAAAUUUCAAGAUUCCAUUGUUUUUUUUUUUUGUCCCCCCCCCCUGAGUAGUUCUCCAUUGUGUACUUUUUCUCGAUCCAUUCUUCGGUUGAGGGGCAUCUAGACUGCUUCCAGUUUCUGGCUAUUACAAAUAGUGCUGCUAUGAACAUCGUUGAACAGGUGUCCUUGUUGUAUGAAUGUGCUUCUUUUGGGUAUAUGCCUAAGAGUCGAAUUGCUGGAUCUUGUGGUAGAGCCAGCAAGUUUUCUAUUGUUGUAACAAAAUAUCCAAGGCUUGGCCCUUUCUAAAGAAAGAGGGUUGGCUAGGCAGUGGUGGGCACACCUUUAACCCCAGCAUGUGGGAGGCAGAGGCAGGCAAUAUCUGUGAGUCCCAGGCUGUCCUGGUCUACAGAGUUAGUUCCAGGAUAGCCAAGGGUACACAAAGAAACCCUGUCUCAAAAAACCAAAAACUAAACCAAAUUACCACCACCACCACCAAAAAACAAACAAACCCCAGACCAAAAACCAACUAUCCAAACAAAAAGGCUCAUUUAGCUCACAGUUCAGGAGGUUCAAGGGGCACGGCUGUUCACCGGCAUCGACUCAGUUCUGGUGAGACUUUAUAGUGGAUGAAUAAUAGCAUGUGAAAGUCACAUGGCGAGACUAGAAGCUGGAGGGUAACCAGUGAGGGCCAGACCUGCUCUUUCAUAACAACCUCUCCUGAAAACAAGUGAGGGUCUCAUGAGAACUUUACCAAUUCCUCCCAAGGGCAACUCCCCACAACCCAAUUAUUUGACACUGAGCCCUGCCUCUUAAAGCACACACUACUUCCCUGACAUUGCCACCCUAGGGACCAAGCUCACAGCACGUGGACCCUGGAGACACACUGACACUGCAAGGGAAUCCUAGCCCUUCCUGAUGCAUGUUAGCUCAUAUGGAGCUGGAACGCCCCAUCUGCUGCAGCUGACCUCCCCAGGUCUCAGUAAUUCCCUCCCGGCCAGCUUGCUUGCCUUUGCACAUGGUGACUUUGGAUUGCUCUUCUUUGCUUGAGACCUGUGUGUUUUCAACACUGUUGUCCAGGGCCAUCCUAGUCUGGCUCCAGGUCAGCUCUGGUCCCAAAUAUUUAAGAACCUAUGAGGUGCCAGGGUUUUGGACUUGGUUAGGGGAAUUCAGAAAAUAUGGAUGGCUGGUCAUUGAAAACAUUUAGCCCAGAGUGAUCUCUCUUCAAACUUGUACUUAAAAUACACACGGAAGUACUGAAAAUGGCCAAAAACCAAUGCAAGAAUGCCCAGGAACAGGGUCAACAAUGGCUAGCUUUGACCAGGGCUCCCAUUAUCUUCAGCAACAAUGAGGGAUCCAGAAGUACAAUUGGGGACAUUUUCAUUGUUAGUGGCUCAGUUGGCCAGAGGUGGAAGAAGCCUUGACUCUAGUCAAGGUUUAAAGAAGUCACUGAGCCCAGCUGAGCAGUCCCUUUCUUCUGGGUGCCUGUCAGUCUGGACUCUUGUCUCCCAUCCUGCUUGCUAUAGAGACAGACAGACAAAAGCUCAGGCAGGUGACACUGCAUGGUAAAAGGUGUAGGACAAUAGUAAGUACACUGCUGCUGGCAGAGCCCAGACAAGCCUGGCUUUGCCUUCCAGGUAGAACUCUGGGUGAAAGAAUGAUCCCCUAAUUCACAGGAAUUCACUUUCCCCAGGAAUGUCAGAAAAAACUGGUUCUCUCAAAUGGAAGGUCACACAAAAGCAAGUGCCUGACACUGGCCAUGGCAUUGGGCCUGGAGAGAGCUGGCUUUGCUUUUAGCUUUAGGUCCCCAGGGGGUACUUUAGGGGACCAGGGGUCAGGGGACAGGCAAAGAAAGUGACCCCAUCCCAUGCUCUCACCCGCAAAGGUCUUCUUUAUGGAGUCAUUUGAAUAGAAACACUGAACCAAUGAAUGUGGUCUGAACUGCACACACUGAUUACAGCUGAAAAUACAAUUUUUGAAAAUGUUAUUUUUAGGAAGAAAUAAACAAUGAUCUAAGGAUUGGCAUUUCAUGCUUUCCAUGAGCUAUAAGGAUAUAUGUAAUUAUUAGGUUUGCUAAGGGUGACAAGAAGGACAAUAGGGUGAGGGACAAGCCCAACUGGAAAGGCCAUCUCUGGUAGAGGGGAAGGCUAUCCAGUUGUUCACUGCCCACAGAGCUUGGUUCUCCAUUUGGCAGUGAGGGAGAACAGAGCUGCUGAAGGAGAGGCAAUCUAGACUUGCUGGAAGCCCCAAGAAAGAGUAAAGGGUGAGGGCUGUAAUGUUAUGGAGGCUGGAGAGAGGAAGUGACGUUUGGAGGCUCAGGCUAGUGUGAGGAAGAAAGUGCAAGUGGGAAGAAGCAAUAAUCAAAGAUACAGUGUUUUCGAGACAGGGUUUCUAUCUUUUGAGACAGGGCUUCUAUCUUUGGAGCCUGUCCUGGAACUCACUCUGUAGACCAGGCUGGUCUGGAACUCACAGAGAUUCAUCUGCCUCUGCUUCCUGAGCACUGGGAUUAAAGAUAUGUGCCACCACUGCCUGGCAAAGACAAAGGAUUUGAAAACUCCCAGACUGAGGGUAAAGAGCUUGGUCCAGAGAGUAACUUCAGUAAAGAUGUGUCAUUUAAGCUGAGGGACUCAACCUUCAGUGGUUAAUUCAGCCAGUGAUUCAGAUGCACAGAGAAGCAGCCAGUCUGAGACUUAGUGUGGAGUUGGACCAUCCUGUCUGCAAAUGCAGUCCAGUCUGAGAGCUAGUGUGCAGCUAAGACCAUCAUGGCAGCAAACUCAGAAGACAAUGGCGCAAGUUCAAAGCUUUCAGAAAGAUCAGUUUUUUUUUAUUUAUUUAUUUUUAAUUUCUUUUACGUGACAACAAAGCCUUUCUGGUGUGUAAGGACUCUGGAAGUAUACCAAGUGUCACAGCACUGUAGAUGAGGGAAGAAUCAAAUACAAGUACCCAGGACCAGAUAUGCCAACUCUUAGCAUCUCCACAGAGUGAAGAAGCUGAUAUCAGAAUGAAGGCUGAAGUCACAGAAUAAACAAGGACCGUGGUGUGCUGCUGUGACAACCCAACCUGAUGGAGGGUUACAGACUGAGACACUGACUUUGGAGCCAAGGGAAUGAAGACAGACAGACUUCCUGCUAGAUUUUCCUCAGAACUCACAGCAAAAUUUAGUGAGAACAUGCAGCCAUGAGCUCUAAAUGAUGCGUGCGGUGUGCCAUUCGUCUCCCAGUGCGAGCAUCACAUACAUCUGAGGACUGCAGCUCAGAGGGGGAAAGCCUACGCUUCCUAGUACUCUUCAAAGCCACAAGUCAAGAGCCAGCUUUGCCUGACAUCCCGGCCCCAUGCAGAGGUUUGGCGCUGGUGCCCCUGAUGUCACUGGUAUGAGGUGCCAAGUUCAGAGUCUGAGGGCAGCGAGUCUGGAUUAUGACUGCUGUCACCUUGCCAGAAGCCUUAGCCCCAGCUGACGACCAGAAUUACCUAAGGACUGGUUUGACAUUCCACGUUAUUGAGUUCAUCCUGGAAGCUUAUAAGACUAUGAACAAUAUAGACCCAGGAUGCCGGAUGGCUGUAAUGAGACUGCUCUGUGUGAUCCUGCUCCUGCUGAAUGGGAUGUCAGUGAGAUUACUGGCUUGCAGAAGGGAACAACGGCAGAAAGGUGACAUGCAGUUUUAUCCCGUGUUCUCCCUGAGGCUGGGUAGACGAUGGUGCUGCUGGUAGUACUGGAAUCAGAUCAGAGGAUUUGGGGGAAGACAAACAUAGUAAGAUCAUUUUGUUUGAGUCAUUAAUACAUCCCUUUGGACACAUACAUCCAGUGUGGAGUAAUCUGCCAGCUCACUGAGUUUUAGGUCUGGUAUUUGGGACCAUGAUCUGUGUGGCUGAUACAGGAGUCAGGACUGUGAAUGCUGCAGACAAGGACGGUCGUAAGCAGUGCGUAUAAACAGCUAGCUCCCUCCCCAUUUGUGUGGGUCUCUCUCCAUUCAGAGAAGAGCCCAUAUAAUUAGCUCUGUCCUACCAGUUCUCUUGGGGAGAAGCUGCUCUGUGCUGGCCCACUUUCUAUAGAUGUGGGUGUGACAUCCAUGGUUGCUACAGGUCAUGUUGUUGGUGCUAGGAUCUGUGAGAUUGAGUCACACUGAAACCAGUGACAAUUGUCUACCCAGAGCAAUAACUCGUAUGUCACACACAUAGAAAAGUCAACCCAUUUAGGAGGUACUCAAAAACUGAUCUAAAAAAGAUGUACAGUAAGGAUAAUGAACUGAGAUUGUUUCCCAACCUGUAAAAAUGCUGGGCAAGUUAAUCUCACCCCAAUAUAUUCCGUGUCCUUAUCUGCAAGGGUAUAAUAGUAAGUGCUUUCUCAGAAAGUUACUCUGAGGGUUACAUGAGCACACUUUUGCAUACAUAUAUAUCUAUAUUUGCAUAUAUGUAUGCUCAUGCACAUAUAAACACAUGAUGCUUGGAAUAACCUCUGACACACACACAACUACUUAAUAGCUAAUUCCUUUUGGUCAAAGUCAUGGGCUGUUUUGUGGCCUGUGAUAAACUGAAACCCAUAUUUGUACUGGAUGGUGACUAGAGCCUCCUGCCACUUUAUCUUUCUUUGUUUUAGAGUCUCUCCCUACCCUCAGUGGAAAGAGGCUUAGUCUGGGAAAGAAACUACUGACUAGUGUUUAUUUUCUUCUGCUUGUAAAAUGAUUGCAAAAUUACUUGCUUUUCCGUGCUCCCAGCUUUGCUGUAGAACAAAACAAGCUUAGUGGAUGAUGCUGCAUCCAUGUAGACUCCCAUCAAGACUGUAAUAGUCCACACUUAGGGCUGAGUUCUCAGUUAAAUAUUUCUCUGGGAAUUUUCCCCACCUUGCUCUGGGUUGCUGUCUUUUUCUGAGAAGCCAGCAUCUAACGUCUUGAUGAAGAAAGAGGUAGAAAGGCCCAGACCUCUGUUCUGAAGAUGGAUGACUACCAGACGGCCACUUGAGACUCUCCCCUUGAAAUGUGAUUGCCAACCUGCCACUCCCGAGACUCUGUGCGCAGAUCUCAGAGAUUUCUGUGAAUCCCAUCAGCAAGGCACCGUGAUACUUAGUACCAGCAAGGUUCCUGGAAACUCCGUCUAGAGCUGGAUGUUAAAGAUAGGUCAUGCAGAUAGGUGAUGAAGACCACAUCACUAGGCACAUGGCCAUCGACAGACUUGGUGUGAAGCCGAGGCCUCGAGGAACCAUGGCAUGGCGUGUGCUGGAAGGAGGCAUGCUGGCAGGUGCAGCAAGCAGUUCAGGGUCCUGGGGCCAGAGAUGGUCAGCAUGAGGUCUUUGGCAUCAGGCGACCGCUGCUGGGGACAUCAACGCCUUGGAGAGGAGAUAAACAAUGAAGUCUGGAGGAUGAUGGAUCACCAAUGUGAGGCAGGCAGUGAGAAACCCAGAGGACCUCUGGCAUCGAAAAGUGACUUUGAUUUAAAUGUGUGAGCACCAAGCAGUACUGGAGCUGGGAGGAACCUUGCCUUUUUGCACUGGUCAGUCCACCACAUCAAGAUUAGGGCUUAGACUGGAAAGCAGUGACAUGCCACGUGUAGAAUCAGAGUUUCUCAGGUAAAUACAUCGUGGGAUUUCUUGGUUAUAUGGCAGUAGUUAGGUUUAAUAUUUAAGACACCUCCACACGGAUUUCUAGAGUUUGCCUGCUGUUUUCUUUCCAGCCAGCAAUGUGUGAGAGUUGCAGGUGCAGCACAGUCCUUGCCAAGGCUUCUGGCGUUCAUCCUCAGGCUUAGCCAUCCCAGCUUCUCUGUAGUAUCCCACUGUGGGCUCGGCUUGCAUCUCCCCAGUGAUUAACACUUUGAGGUCUGCUUCACAGGUACAUUUGCUGUGCUAUAACUGUUGGAUUUUGGAUACAGGAGAGAUGGUUCAGCAGUUAAGAGCAGUGGCUGCUCUUCCAGAGGACCUAGGUUCGAUUUCCAGCACCCAUAUGGUGGCUCACAACCCUCUCUAAAUGCAGUUCCAAGAGAUCUGUAGCCCUCUUCUUGUCUCCUUGGACACUGCAAAUAUGGUACACAGACAUACAUUCAGGCAAAACACCUCUACACAUAAAAAUUGGAUUUCUACGCUUUAUAUUGAGUUGCAGGGGUUCUUUAGACACUUGAACUCUUGGUGAGAAGUGGGAUUUGAGGGCUGGCUAGAUUUUUCAGCAGAGAAGUAUGCUUGUAACCCUAACGACCUGAGCCGGAUUCCUGGGACCCACCUACAGGUGGAAGGAGAGGACCAACUCUACAAAUGUGUCCUCUGACAUCCACUUAUGCCCUGUGGCAUUGUGUCCCCCCAAUACAAAUAUACACAAUAAUAAAAGAAGACAAAAGAAUAUGCUUUGAGGCUAUUCGUUCUUGGUGGUUCUGGUAGUUUGAAAGAAAAUGGCCCCCAAGGGGAGUGACACUAUUAGGAGGUGUGGCCUUGUUGAAGUGGGUGUGGCUGUGUUGGAGGAAGUGUGUCACUGUGGGGGUGGGCUUUGAGGUCUCAUAUGCUCAAGCUUCCCUCAGUGUGACAGUCAGUGGACUUCCUGUCGCCUGCAUGAUGUAGCAUUCUCAGCUCCAGCACCACAUCUGCCUGCAAGCUGCCAUGCUCCCUAUCAUCAUGACAAUGAACUGAACCUCCAAACCUGUAAGUGAGCCCCCUCAAUUGAAAGUCUCCAUUUAUAAGAGUUGCUGUGGUCAUGGUGUCUCUUCAGAGCAGUAAAAAAUCUAACUAAGACAGUGGCCAGCUAGCCUUAAUCUUCACAGUGGAUUUUGAAGAGCAAAGGUUUUAUUUUGAUGACACCCAGCUAACCAAUUGUUUUUCUUUUAGGAUUGUCUGACAGGGUCUUAGUAUAUGGCUCAGGUCUGCUGGGAACUCAGGAUGCUUCUGUCUUAUCCUGCAGUCGCUGAUGACCGCCGGGCAUCUGACUUUCUUUUGGAAUUCUCCUGAAGCAUCUUCUAGAGGCUGUUUUACAGUUAAGUUUAUCCUUAAUUAAUUAAUUAAUUAAUUAAUUAGGUUCCCUGGAUUUGAGACCGGAGCCUUGUGCAUGCUUACACAGUGCUAUAAAGCUGAGCCACACCUGUUUUUAAAAUGAGUACGAGUGUGCUCUAAGAUGACAAAAUGUGCAAUAUAGUCAACAUACAACCAGCGAUGGAGUAGUUUUUAUCAUUGCCAAGUCCUAUGUGAUCUGUAUCACCAUGUUUGGCUGGAAGCUCAGUGUCAUGUGGUAGACUGAGAUGCUUCCAUCCCAGUGACAGUGCACAGGAAUUCUCUUCACCAUCUUGUAGUCUUCUGGGACCACUGUGUGUGCAGGGUAUUGCUGAGGCAACAUGACUGUGCUGUGCAUGGCAGUAUUUUUGUUGUUCACUGGUAAAAUCUAAAGAUUUAGAACAGUUCCUGGCACCCAGAAGAUGCUGAAGGAACAGAUCGGCCAGCAAGUCUCCCCAGAGUGUUUCUGCUCCCUUCCUAUUAGCCUCAGACAGUGUCCCAGCUCCCCUGCUGGUCCCUUGCUUUACUGUCAUUCAUUAUGCUACCUGUGCUGUAAGUGACACAUCACAUUGUCAUUUUUUAUUAAUACUAAUAAAAUCUUAUGCACUGUUACAAUUUUGGAUCCUCUUCAUCCAUUUGAGUGGAUCCAGAUUUCUGUGUUUUUUUUUUUUUUUUUUCUGCCUUAUGAAUUCCCUUAGUGCCUCCCAGAGGGAGGGGAGAUGAGUUCCAGAGAGAAAGGUCGGAUGUUCAGAGAUGAGAUGACGAUGUGGAAAAUAGAGUUGGCAGAAUUAACAACAGGCUGGACAUGACAGGUAGAAAGACUGGUGACACUGAAUAUAUAGAAAUAAUCUAAAACACACCCCCAAGAAGAAAAUAUAAAUAUGGAAUGAACGAAGGGCGAGGGAAUAAAAAUAUUUUUAAGAAAUAAUGACUGAAAAUUUCCCAAUUUGAAUAUAAAUCUGUGUAUUGGAGAAGCUCAACACACACACACACACACACACACACACACACACACACACACAGAGAGAGAGAGAGAGAGAGAGAGAGAGAGAGAGAG